GGUUAAGCGACUAAGCGUACACGGUGGAUGCCCUGGCAGUCAGAGGCGAUGAAGGACGUGCUAAUCUGCGAUAAGCGUCGGUGAGGUGAUAUGAACCGUUAUAACCGGCGAUUUCCGAAUGGGGAAACCCAGUGUGUUUCGACACACUAUCAUUAACUGAAUCCAUAGGUUAAUGAGGCGAACCGGGGGAACUGAAACAUCUAAGUACCCCGAGGAAAAGAAAUCAACCGAGAUUCCCCCAGUAGCGGCGAGCGAACGGGGAGGAGCCCAGAGCCUGAAUCAGUGUGUGUGUUAGUGGAAGCGUCUGGAAAGGCGCGCGAUACAGGGUGACAGCCCCGUACACAAAAAUGCACAUAUUGUGAGCUCGAUGAGUAGGGCGGGACACGUGGUAUCCUGUCUGAAUAUGGGGGGACCAUCCUCCAAGGCUAAAUACUCCUGACUGACCGAUAGUGAACCAGUACCGUGAGGGAAAGGCGAAAAGAACCCCGGCGAGGGGAGUGAAAAAGAACCUGAAACCGUGUACGUACAAGCAGUGGGAGCCUCUUAAUGGGGUGACUGCGUACCUUUUGUAUAAUGGGUCAGCGACUUAUAUUCUGUAGCAAGGUUAACCGAAUAGGGGAGCCGAAGGGAAACCGAGUCUUAACUGGGCGUUAAGUU
rnacentral:rRNA from 1 species